rnacentral:rRNA from 1 species
AGCUUGCUCUCUUGAUUAGUGGCGCACGGGUGAGUAAUAUAUAGAUAACGUGCCUCUUAGUCUCGGGAUAGCCAUUGGAAACGAUGAUUAAUACUAGAUACUCCUUCUCUUUAUAAAUGAGAGUCGGGAAAGUUUUUCGCUAAGAGAUCGGUCUAUAUCCCAUUCAGCUUGUUGGUAGUGUAAGAGACUACCAAGGCUAUGACGGGUAGCGGGUUUGAGAGGAUGAUCCGCCACACUGGGUACUGAGACACGGACCAGACUCC